rnacentral:rRNA from 1 species
GACGAACGCUGGCGGCGUGCUUAACACAUGCAAGUCGAACGGGAUAAUUUGAGAGCUUGCUCUUAGAGAAUCUAGUGGCAAACGGGUGAGUAACACGUAGACAACCUGCCGACAGGAUGGGGACAACAUUCCGAAAGGAAUGCUAAUACCGAAUGAAGCGGAGGAGAGGCAUCUCUCCUCCGUGAAAGAUGGCCUCUGAAUAUGCUAUCACCUGUCGAUGGGUCUGCGUCUGAUUAGCUAGUUGGUGAGGUAACGGCUCACCAAGGCGACGAUCAGUAGCCGGUCUGAGAGGAUGAACGGCCACAUUGGGACUGAGACACGGCCCAGACUCCUACGGGAGGCAGCAGUGGGGAAUCUUCCGCAAUGGGCGCAAGCCUGACGGAGCAACGCCGCGUGGGUGAAGAAGGUCUUCGGAUCGUAAAGCUCUGUUGACGGGGACGAACGUGCGAAGGGUGAAUAAUCCUUUGUAAUGACGGUACCUGUCGAGGAAGCCACGGCUAACUACGUG